GAGUUUGAUCAUGGCUCAGAACGAACGCUGGCGGCAGGCUUAACACAUGCAAGUCGAACGCGUGUAGCAAUACACGAGUGGCGCACGGGUGAGUAACGCGUGGAUAUCUGCCUUUUGGUUCGGAAUAACCCCGGGAAACUGGGGCUAAUACCGGAUGGUUCCUACGGGAUAAAGAUUUAUCGCCAAAAGAUGAGUCCGCGUACGAUUAGCUAGUUGGUGAGGUAAUGGCUCACCAAGGCGACGAUCGUUAGCUGGUCUGAGAGGACGGUCAGCCACACUGGGACUGAGACACGGCCCAGACUCCUACGGGAGGCAGCAGUGGGGAAUAUUGGACAAUGGGGGCAACCCUGAUCCAGCCAUGCCGCGUGAGUGAUGAAGGCC
rnacentral:rRNA from 1 species